UACGUAGGUGGCAAGCGUUGUCCGGAUUUACUGGGCGUAAAGGGCGUGCAGGCGGUUUGUUAAGUGCAGGGUGAAAGCUCCCGGCUCAACUGGGAGAGGUCCUUGCAUACUGGCAGACUUGAGGGAGGCAGAGGAAAGUGGAAUUCCCGGUGUAGUGGUGAUAUGCGUAGAUAUCAGGAGGAACACCGGUGGCGAAGGCGGGUCUCUGGGCCGAUACUGACGCUGAGGAGCGAAAGCGUGGGGAGCGAACAGG
rnacentral:rRNA from 1 species